rnacentral:rRNA from 1 species
UACGUAGGGGGCAAGCGUUGUCCGGAUUUAUUGGGCGUAAAGAGCGUGUAGGCGGCUAGGUAGGUCCGUUGUGAAAACUCGAGGCUCAACCUCGAGACGCCGAUGGAAACCAUCUAGCUAGAGUCCGGAAGAGGAGAGUGGAAUUCCUGGUGUAGCGGUGAAAUGCGCAGAUAUCAGGAAGAACACCCGUGGCUAAGGCGGCUCUCUAGUACGGUACUGACGCUGAGACGCG